rnacentral:rRNA from 1 species
UGCCAGCAGCCGCGGUAAUACGGAGGAUCCAAGCGUUAUCCGGAAUUAUUGGGUUUAAAGGGUCCGCAGGCUGUUUGUUAAGUCAGGGGUGAAAUCCUACCGCUCAACGGUAGAACUGGCUUUGAUACUGGCAAACUUGAGUUAUUGUGAAGUAGUUAGAAUGUGUAGUGUAGCGGUGAAAUGCAUAGAUAUUACACAGAAUACCAAUUGCGAAGGCAGAUUACUAACAAUAUACUGACGCUGAGUGACUACAGCGUGGGUCGCGACCAGGAUUAGAUA